GACAGAGGGUGCAAACGUUGUUCGGAAUUACUGGGCGUAAAGCGCGUGUAGGCGGCCAACUAAGUCGGGCGUGAAAUCCCACGGCUCAACCGUGGAAGUGCACUCGAAACUGGAUGGCUAGAGUCCUGGAGAGGAAGGUGGAAUGCUUGGUGUAGAGGUGAAAUUCGUAGAUAUCAAGCGGAACACCAGUGGCGAAGGCGGCUCACUGGCCCGGUACUGACGCUGAGGUGCGAAAGCGUGGGGAGCAAACAGG
rnacentral:rRNA from 1 species